UCGGACGGGGUGGUAACGCGUGAGAAUCUAACUUCAGGACGGGGACAACAGUUGGAAACGACUGCUAAUACCCGAUGUGCCGCAAGGUGAAACCUAAUUGGCCUGGAGAAGAGCUUGCGUCUGAUUAGCUAGUUGGUGGGGUAAGAGCCUACCAAGGCGACGAUCAGUAGCUGGUCUGAGAGGAUGAGCAGCCACACUGGGACUGAGACACGGCCCAGACUCCUACGGGAGGCAGCAGUGGGGAAUUUUCCGCAAUGGGCGAAAGCCUGACGGAGCAACGCCGCGUGAGGGAGGAAGGUCUUUGGAUUGUAAACCUCUUUUCUCAAGGAAGAAGUUCUGACGGUACUUGAGGAAUCAGCCUCGGCUAACUCCGUGCCAGCAGCCGCGGUAAUACGGGGGAGGCAAGCGUUAUCCGGAAUUAUUGGGCGUAAAGCGUCCGCAGGUGGUCAGCCAAGUCUGCCGUCAAAUCAGGUUGCUUAACGACCUAAAGGCGGUGGAAACUGGCAGACUAGAGAUCAGUAGGGGUAGCAGGAAUUCCCAGUGUAGCGGUGAAAUGCGUAGAGAUUGGGAAGAACAUCGGUGGCGAAAGCGUGCUACUGGGC
rnacentral:rRNA from 1 species